GGCUCAGUGAUUCAGUGCUUAUGCGUUAGGCUUGAGACCAAAGGGUCUUGGGUUCGAAUCCCAGCUAGGGCA